CCUACGGGGGGCAGCAGUGAGGAAUAUUGGGCAAUGGACGAAAGUCUGACCCAGCCAUGCCGCGUGCAGGACGAAGGCCCUACGGGUUGUAAACUGCUUUUAUAUGGGAAUAAACCCCUCUACGUGUAGAGGGCUGAAGGUACCAUAUGAAUAAGCACCGGCUAACUCCGUGCCAGCAGCCGCGGUAAUACGGAGGGUGCAAGCGUUAUCCGGAUUCAUUGGGUUUAAAGGGUGCGCAGGCGGGAUAUUAAGUCAGUGGUGAAAUCCUACAGCUUAACUGUAGAACUGCCAUUGAUACUGAUGUCCUUGAGUCUGGUUGAAGUUGGCGGAACGUGACAUGUAGCGGUGAAAUGCAUAGAUAUGUCACAGAACACCGAUCGCGAAGGCAGCUAACUAAACCAGUACUGACGCUCAGGCACGAAAGCGUGGGGAGCAAACAG
rnacentral:rRNA from 1 species